GAUGAACGCUGGCGGCGUGCUUAACACAUGCAAGUCGAACGGAAAGGCCCUGCUUUUGUGGGGUGCUCGAGUGGCGAACGGGUGAGUAACACGUGAGUAACCUGCCCUUGUCUUUGGGAUAACUUUAGGAAACUGGGGCUAAUACCGGAUAGGAGCUACUGCUGCAUGGUGGGGGUUGGAAAGUUUCGGCUGUUGGGGAUGGAAUCGCGGCUUAUCAGCUGGUUGGUGGAGUAGUGGCUUACCAAGGUUUUGACGGGUAGCCGGCAUGGGAGGGUGACCGGCCACCUUGGGACUGCGAUACGGCCCAGACUCCAACGGGAGGCAGCAGUGGAAAAUAUUGCACAAUGAGCGGACGCCUGAUACAGCAACGCCGCGUGCGGGAUGACGGCCUUCGGGUUAUAAACCGCUUUCUCCUGUGACGAAGCGUGAGUGACGGUAAUGAGUAAAGAAGCACCGGCUAACUACGUG
rnacentral:rRNA from 1 species